rnacentral:rRNA from 1 species
GACGAACGCUGGCGGCGUGCUUAACACAUGCAAGUCGAACGAAGAGCGAUGGAAGCUUGCUUCUAUCAAUCUUAGUGGCGAACGGGUGAGUAACGCGUAAUCAACCUGCCCUUCAGAGGGGGACAACAGUUGGAAACGACUGCUAAUACCGCAUACGAUCUGACCUCGGCAUCGAGGAUGGAUGAAAGGUGGCCUCUAUUUAUAAGCUAUCACUGAAGGAGGGGAUUGCGUCUGAUUAGCUAGUUGGAGGGGUUACGGCCCACCAAGGCGAUGAUCAGUAGCCGGUCUGAGAGGAUGAACGGCCACAUUGGGACUGAGACACGGCCCAGACUCCUACGGGAGGCAGCAGUGGGGAAUCUUCCGCAAUGGACGAAAGUCUGACGGAGCAACGCCGCGUGAGUGAUGACGGCCUUCGGGUUGUAAAGCUCUGUUAAUCGGGACGAAAGGCCUUCUUGCGAAUAGUUAGAAGGAUUGACGGUACCGGAAUA